rnacentral:rRNA from 1 species
GAUGAACGCUAGCUACAGGCUUAACACAUGCAAGUCGAGGGACCGGCGCACGGGUGAGUAACACGUAUCCAACCUGCCCUUUACUCGGGGAUAGCCUUUCGAACGAAAGAUUAAUACCCGAUAUAAAGGAUGGGGAUGCGUUGCAUUAGGUUGUUGGUGAGGUAACGGCUCACCAAGCCUUCGAUGGAUUGGGGUUCUGAGAGGAAGGUCCCUACAUUGGAACUGAGGCACAGUCCAAACUCCUACGGGAGGCAGGAGUGAGGAAUAGUAGGCAAUGGACGCUAGCCUGAACCAGCCAAGUAGCGUGAAGGAUGAAGGCUUAUGGGUCGUAAACUUCUUUUAUAUAAGAAUAUGUAUUAUAUGAAGAAGGAUCGGCUAACUCCGGGCCAGCAGCCGCGGUAAUAC